UCAGAUGUUCAACCAACUGAGCCACCCAGGUGCCCCCAAGCCCAACUUUAAAGCCAACAAACAAAUUAGCCAAGCUUGGGCUUAAAACAAGCAGGGAUGGCUUCUGGAAUGGAUCCCACUGGAGACUCAAGAGAGAUGAGCCUUCUCCAACCCCUCUCCUUCCAUCCCCCAGCUCUGAGGUGAGGAGGGAAAGUGAUCCAUGAUGAAAGACUCUUUCAAAGCCACUGCCAGGCAAAUGGUGGAACCCUAAGUCAAAGUCAGGUCCCUGAAGGGAAUCUAUUAGUGUGCAGUCUUCUCUCAUAAUCAGCUUCAGUGGUCAGGGUCCCCAGGGAGCAUGGAACUGAAAUGAGACUUGGAGGGUCUCUCUAGUAUUUGUGCCUGGGAAAGAACAUGAAAGCCCAAAACUAUUCCCCCAAAGCCAAGUUUCCCAACAUAUACACAAACACACAAGCCAGUCCACAGGAAAGCAAGAUGAUCUGAAAGUCCUCCACUUAACCCAGGGGCAAACCCCACCAAGCGUCUGUGUGUGUGUGUGUGUGUGUGUGUGUGUGUGUGUGUAGGGAACGUGAUCUAACCAAGGCAGAGUCAGGGGAUUAUUUCCUAUGUCCCUGAUGGAGAUCCCAUACUCAAGGUCAAAGUUCUUUCCAUGAGUUUGGGGCUAUAGAUAGUGGGAGCAAAUCAGAGACGAGAAGUCAAACCCUAACCCUACUCCAUUACGAUUGGUUUCAGACUUACACAUAUCAUGGGAUAACCUCCCACAUAGGGAGAGAAGUCUUGGACUGCUUAUCUACCCUAACUUCCUCUCCUCUCCCACACUUAAUUCUCCUCUCCUAUUUUGCCUGACCCCACUAUAGUAUGUGGAGGCACCAACCAGAGACAGCAUAGAGGGAUUCAGCCCUCCCCAAGACUUUGGGGCAUUGUGGCCUGAAAUAGCAACUCUCUGAGUACCCCUUCUGGUCCUGUGAAAGGCCCUGGGGCCACCUGCUGGUGUCCUGAGGUGGGAGGGUGGGAGAGCAGCAACUUGGCCUCACAGAGGGGCCCUCUUAGCAGCCUGGUCUCCAGGAACCUUUGGGAGAGGGGCAAGGGUAAGUCAUUGAGUGAGCCCAGAUAACUUUCCCAAGGUUACAACGAAUUGAAGCAAUUAGUUCUGAAUCUGGGA